CCCUUAGACGUUCUGGGCCGCACGCGCGCUACACUGACCAGUGCAACAAGCAUCCGUCCUUGGCCGACAGGCCCGGGCAAUCUUUGAACGCUGGUCGUGAUGGGGAUAGACUUUUGCAAUUUUUGGUCUUCAACGAGGAAUUCCUAGUAAACGCAAGUCAUCAACUUGCAUUGAUUACGUCCCUGCCCUUUGUACACACCGCCCGUCGCACCUACCGAUUGAACGGUCCGGUGAAGCCUCCGGAUUGGCGCGCACCCCGGUGCCGCCGAGAAGUUGGCUAAACCUUACCAUUUAGAGGAAGGUGAAGUCGUAACA
rnacentral:rRNA from 1 species